rnacentral:snRNA from 1 species
GAUAUGAGGAUGAUCUGGCUGUGACAUCUGUCACGUUAGCAAUUGCCAGGGUUGAUUUGGCCGAUCUGGCUGGUGGGGCAGCUGUCUUCUCUUCCUUCCUCAUUGUUC